rnacentral:rRNA from 1 species
GAUCAUGGCUCAGGAUGAACGCUAGCGAUAGGCCUAACACAUGCAAGUCGAGGGGCAGCAUAGAGUAGCAAUACUUGAUGGCGACCGGCGCACGGGUGAGUAACACGUAUGCAACCUACCUACAUCAGGGGAAUAACCCGGAGAAAUUCGGACUAAUACCGCAUAAUACAGGGAUGCCGCAUGGUAAUAUUUGUUAAAGAUUUAUCGGAUGUAGAUGGGCAUGCGUUCCAUUAGCUAGUUGGUAAGGUAACGGCUUACCAAGGCAACGAUGGAUAGGGGAACUGAGAGGUUUGUCCCCCACACUGGAACUGAGACACGGACCAGACUCCUACGGGAGGCAGCAGUGAGGAAUAUUGGUCAAUGGACGAGAGUCUGAACCAGCCAAAUCGCGUGAAAAGGAAGACUGCCCUACGGGUUGUAAACUUCUUUUGUACAGGAAUAAAAGACAUUACGUGUAGUGUAUUGCAUGUACUGUACGAAUAAGCAUCGGCUAACUCCGUGCCAGCCGCCGC